CGGCGAUGUCCGAAUGGGGAAACCCAGUGCAAUUCGUUGCACUAUCGUUAACUGAAUACAUAGGUUAACGAGGCGAACCGGGGGAACUGAAACAUCUAAGUACCCCGAGGAAAAGAAAUCAACCGAGAUUCCCCCAGUAGCGGCGAGCGAACGGGGAGCAGCCCAGAGUCUGAAUCAGCUUGUGUGUUAGUGGAACGGUCUGGAAAGUCCGACGGUACAGGGUGAUAGUCCCGUACACCAAAAUGCACAGGUUGUGAACUCGAAGAGUAGGGCGGGACACGUGGUAUCCUGUCUGAAUAUGGGGGGACCAUCCUCCAAGGCUAAAUACUCCUGACUGACCGAUAGUGAACCAGUACCGUGAGGGAAAGGCGAAAAGAACCCCGGCGAGGGGAGUGAAAAAGAACCUGAAACCGUGUACGUACAAGCAGUGGGAGCACCUUCGGGUGUGACUGCGUACCUUUUGUAUAAUGGGUCAGCGACUUAUAUUCUGUAGCAAGGUUAACCGUAUAGGGGAGCCGCAGGGAAACCGAGUCUUAACUGGGCGUUAAGUUGCAGGGUAUAGACCCGAAACCCGGUGAUCUAGCCAUGGGCAGGUUGAAGGUUGGGUAACACUAACUGGAGGACCGAACCGACUAAUGUUGAAAAAUUAGCGGAUGACUUGUGGCUGGGGGUGAAAGGCCAAUCAAACCGGGAGAUAGCUGGUUCUCCCCGAAAGCUAUUUAGGUAGCGCCUCGUGAACUCAUCUUCGGGGGUAGAGCACUGUUUCGGCUAGGGGGUCAUCCCGACUUACCAACCCGAUGCAAACUACGAAUACCGAAGAAUGUUAUCACGGGAGACACACGGCGGGUGCUAACGUCCGUCGUGAAGAGGGAAACAACCCAGACCGCCAGCUAAGGUCCCAAAGUCAUGGUUAAGUGGGAAACGAUGUGGGAAGGCACAGACAGCCAGGAUGUUGGCUUAGAAGCAGCCAUCAUUUAAAGAAAGCGUAAUAGCUCACUGGUCGAGUCGGCCUGCGCGGAAGAUGUAACGGGGCUAAACCAUGCACCGAAGCUGCGGCAGCGACACUAUGUGUUGUUGGGUAGGGGAGCGUUCUGUAAGCCUGCGAAGGUGNUGCUGGAGGUAUCAGAAGUGCGAAUGCUGACAUAAGUAACGAUAAAGCGGGUGAAAAGCCCGCUCGCCGGAAGACCAAGGGUUCCUGUCCAACGUUAAUCGGGGCAGGGUGAGUCGACCCCUAAGGCGAGGCCGAAAGGCGUAGUCGAUGGGAAACAGGUUAAUAUUCCUGUACUUGGUGUUACUGCGAAGGGGGGACGGAGAAGGCUAUGUUAGCCGGGCGACGGUUGUCCCGGUUUAAGCAUGUAGGCUGAUUGUCCAGGCAAAUCCGGAUAAUCAAGGCUGAGGUGUGAUGACGAGGCACUACGGUGCUGAAGUAACAAAUGCCCUGCUUCCAGGAAAAGCCUCUAAGCAUCAGGUAACAUUAAAUCGUACCCCAAACCGACACAGGUGGUCAGGUAGAGAAUACCAAGGCGCUUGAGAGAACUCGGGUGAAGGAACUAGGCAAAAUGGUGCCGUAACUUCGGGAGAAGGCACGCUGGUGUGUAGGUGAAGCCCCUGCGGGUGGAGCUGAGACCAGUCGAAGAUACCAGCUGGCUGCAACUGUUUAUUAAAAACACAGCACUGUGCAAACACGAAAGUGGACGUAUACGGUGUGACGCCUGCCCGGUGCCGGAAGGUUAAUUGAUGGGGUUAUCCGUAAGGAGAAGCUCUUGAUCGAAGCCCCGGUAAACGGCGGCCGUAACUAUAACGGUCCUAAGGUAGCGAAAUUCCUUGUCGGGUAAGUUCCGACCUGCACGAAUGGCGUAAUGAUGGCCAGGCUGUCUCCACCCGAGACUCAGUGAAAUUGAACUCGCUGUGAAGAUGCAGUGUACCCGCGGCAAGACGGAAAGACCCCGUGAACCUUUACUAUAGCUUGACACUGAACAUUGAGCCUUGAUGUGUAGGAUAGGUGGGAGGCUUUGAAGCGUGGACGCCAGUCUGCGUGGAGCCAACCUUGAAAUACCACCCUUUAAUGUUUGAUGUUCUAACGUUGGCCCCUGACCGGGGUUGCGGACAGUGUCUGGUGGGUAGUUUGACUGGGGCGGUCUCCUCCCAAAGCGUAACGGAGGAGCACGAAGGUUAGCUAAUCCUGGUCGGACAUCAGGAGGUUAGUGCAAUGGCAUAAGCUAGCUUGACUGCGAGCGUGACGGCGCGAGCAGGUGCGAAAGCAGGUCAUAGUGAUCCGGUGGUUCUGAAUGGAAGGGCCAUCGCUCAACGGAUAAAAGGUACUCCGGGGAUAACAGGCUGAUACCGCCCAAGAGUUCAUAUCGACGGCGGUGUUUGGCACCUCGAUGUCGGCUCAUCACAUCCUGGGGCUGAAGUAGGUCCCAAGGGUAUGGCUGUUCGCCAUUUAAAGUGGUACGCGAGCUGGGUUUAGAACGUCGUGAGACAGUUCGGUCCCUAUCUGCCGUGGGCGCUGGAGAAUUGAGGGGGGCUGCUCCUAGUACGAGAGGACCGGAGUGGACGCAUCACUGGUGUUCGGGUUGUCAUGCCAAUGGCACUGCCCGGUAGCUAAAUGCGGAAGAGAUAAGUGCUGAAAGCAUCUAAGCACGAAACUUGCCCCGAGAUGAGUUCUCCCUGAGACUUUAAGUCUCCUGAAGGAACGUUAAAGACGAUGACGUUGAUAGGCCGGGUGUGUAAGCGCAGCGAUGCGUUGAGCUAACCGGUACUAAUGAACCGUGAGGCUUAACCUU
rnacentral:rRNA from 1 species